ACGAUGUGUGGAGGAUGCUUGGAGGCACGUGAAGAGCAGUGUUGGCGCCAGCCCGGCGCAAUACGUGCUCGGCACAUUCGUGGACUUCAAAGGAGCAUUCGACAACGUCGAAUGGAGUGCUGCACUCAGCCGACUAGCCGACUUGGGAUGCCGGGAAAUGGGCUUGUGGCAGAGCUUUUUCUCCGGCCGAAGAGCAGUGAUCCGAAGCAGUUCCGGUACUGUGGAGGUACCGGUAACUAGAGGCUGCCCGCAGGGAUCAAUCAGCGGCCCAUUUAUCUGGGACAUACUGAUGGAUGUACUGCUUCAGCGUCUCCAGCCGUAUUGCCAGCUGAGUGCAUACGCGGAUGACUUGCUGCUUCUCGUCGAGGGAAAUUCCCGAGCUGUGCUAGAGGAAAAAGGAGCGCAACUAAUGUCCAUCGUAGAAACGUGGGGAGCGGAAGUUGGCGUUGCCGUCUCGACCAGCAAGACGGUAAUCAUGCUGCUGAAAGGUGCCUUGAGACGUGCGCCUACGGUGAGGUUUGCUGGAGCGAACCUUCCGUAUGUGCGUAGCUGUCGGUACCUUGGCAUCACGGUCAGUGAAGGAAUGAAAUUCCUCACGCACAUAGCUUCGCUUCGCCAGCGGAUGACAGGAGUCGUUGGAGCAUUGGCGCGUGUGCUUCGAGCCGACUGGGGCUUCAGUCCUCGAGCCAGGCGGACCAUAUAUGACGGACUCAUGGCACCUUGUGUGCUGUUUGGUGCCCCGGUAUGGUAUGACACCGCGGAACAAGUAGCUGCCCAGAGGCGACUAGCCUCCUGCCAGAGGCUAAUCCUGCUUGGAUGCCUUUCGGUAUGCCGAACAGUGUCCACAGUGGCACUGCAGGUACUUGGUGGAGCUCCCCCGCUUGAUCUGGCUGCUAAGUUAUUAGCGAUUAAAUACAAGCUAAAACGUGGAUUCCCGCUGGAGGAGAACGACUGGCUUUACGGCGAGGACAUUGCGUGUCUUAGCUGGGAGCAGAGGAAGACUCGCCUAGAGGAGUGUUUAAUCCAGAGUUGGCAGAACAGAUGGGACGACGACAGCGAACCAGGACGGGUGACGCAUAGGUUUAUCCCAUACGUCACUCUUGCCUAUCGGGAUCCAAGUUUUGGAUUCUCGAUGAGGACGUCUUUCCUGCUUACAGGGCACGGGUCGUUCAAUGCAUUUUUGCACGGGAGAGCCCUCAGCGAUACCACUGCUUGCGCAUGUGGAGAUCCAUAUGAGGACUGGAUGCAUAUCUUGUGCGCUUGCCCCCUAUAUGCAGAUCUGCGGGACCUAGAUGGACUUGGAGUGCAGCGCCUUGGCGAAAACUGGAUCUUCGAGGGAAUCCUGGAUGAUCAAGAGAAGACUCAACGGCUGGCAAUGUUUGCGGAAGAAGUGUUCCUGAGGAGGAGGGGCGUUUAGCUCAACAUCUCUGCCGUGUGGUUAGCGGGCGAGAAUACUACCACAGUCCGCUGUUGCUUGUCGUAAGAGACGACUAAUACAGCGAUAGGAUUCCUCUAACCCUGCUUGUCGGAGCAAAAGGGGGAGGCCCACCGAGCCUCUUUUCGGUACCACGGGUUGAGCAGCUAUCCAAGACUGCUCAUUGAGGUAGGCCCCUGGUGGGAGUAUCGUGGUGGCUGUGGUUGGUACCCAUAUCGCGGGUAGAGCCUUCAUGCUCGACGUUUGAGUUACGGUGCUAGUUGCGCAAAACUCGGGUGCUGUGACCCAGAGAUCAGUAGAGAUUUUAGGUAGAUCUCGCUCCUCAGCAAGGGGAGUGCUUGCCCGGCAAGCAAGUACUCGAAUUGCUACCGGGGUGGUCGCUAUGUACAUAGCUAUAGCUUCUAGUCCGGGACGCUUGUCUGGCGUAUCCAGACACAUGCACCAUAUGCUCACUUGUGGGCGUAUAGGGUGCCGUGGUUGUAAUCCCUUCAGUGUGGAACACGCCACGUAAAAUAAGUUCGGAGGGAUCCGAAAAAGCAUACAUUGUCCCUAUCUACUAUCUAGCGAAACCACAGCCAAGGGAACGGGCUUGGAAUAAUUAGCGGGGAAAGAAGACCCUUUUGAGCUUGACUCUAAUCUGGCAGUGUAAGGAGACAUAAGAGGUGUAGAAUAAGUGGGAGAUAUUAGACCUCGGUUUGGUAUCGUCAAUGAAAUACCACUACUCUUAUUGUUUCCUUACUUACUUGAUUAAAUGGAACGUGUAUCAUUUCCUAGCCAUUAUACGGAUAUAUUUAUUAUAUCUUAUGGUAUUGGGUUUUGAUGCAAGCUUCUUGAUCAAAGUAUCACGAGUUUGUUAUAUAAUCGCAAACAAAUUCUUUAAUAAAACGAUGCAUUUAUGUAUUUUUGAUUUGAAAAUUUGGUAUAACUCCAAUUACUCAGGUAUGAUCCAAUUCAAGGACAUUGCCAGGUAGGGAGUUUGACUGGGGCGGUACAUCUCUCAAAUAAUAACGGAGGUGUCCCAAGGCCAGCUCAGUGCGGACAGAAACCACACAUAGAGCAAAAGGGCAAAUGCUGACUUGAUCUCGGUGUUCAGUACACACAGGGACAGCAAAAGCUCGGCCUAUCGAUCCUUUUGGUUUAAAGAGUUUUUAACAAGAGGUGUCAGAAAAGUUACCAUAGGGAUAACUGGCUUGUGGCGGCCAAGCGUUCAUAGCGACGUCGCUUUUUGAUCCUUCGAUGUCGGCUCUUCCUAUCAUUGUGAAGCAAAAUUCACCAAGCGUUGGAUUGUUCACCCAUGCAAGGGAACGUGAGCUGGGUUUAGACCGUCGUGAGACAGGUUAGUUUUACCCUACUAAUGACAAAACGUUGUUGCGACAGCAUUCCUGCGUAGUACGAGAGGAACCGCAGGUACGGACCAAUGGCACAAUACUUGUUCGAGCGAACAGUGGUAUGACGCUACGUCCGUUGGAUUAUGCCUGAACGCCUCUAAGGUCGUAUCCGUGCUGGACUGCAAUGAUAAAUAAGGGGCAAUUUGCAUUGU
rnacentral:rRNA from 1 species